UCAGUGGGUGUUGGCUGCCUCUUCCUUAUAAUCACUGUUAGUGCCGGUUGUUCAUUGAGAGCUGCAGCCGUGGAUGUGCUAACAAGGUGAGAGCAGGAGAUCUCUGCUGAACAAAGUGAAGUUGAAGUCACUACCUCACUGCAGUUAGGUUUUUGCUAAACUGGAAAAAUGUCGGGUGUAAUGAAAUGGUUUGGAAAAGACGACGAUAAAGACAAAGACAAAGAUAAACACCAAGAGAUAAAGGGAGAGGACAAGAAAGACAAGAAGAAAAAGAAAGACAAGAAGGAAGGAGAUACGUCCAGUUCCAGCUCAGACAGCGAUUCUGAUGGAGGAAAGAAGAAAAAAGACAAGCAUUAGAAGAACAAAAGUGAUACAAUGGAGCUGGAACAUGCAUUUAACAAACCUCCAUUAUACUUAGUAAUGCGCUUCUGCAUGUGUGUUUGUAAAUGGUCUGCAAUGUAUAUACUGAUCUUUACUUAAAGGUCAUGGGUUUUCAGAAUAAAACCUUAAACAAA